rnacentral:rRNA from 1 species
UACAGAGACUGCAAGCGUUAUUCGGAUUCACUGGGCGUAAAGGGUGCGCAGGCGGCCAAGUGUGUCUGGUGUGAAAUCUCGGGGCUUAACUCCGAAAUUGCGCCGGAAACUACAUGGCUAGAGUACUGGAGAGGGUAGCGGAAUUCAUGGUGUAGCAGUGAGAUGCGUAGAUAUCAGGAGGAACACCAAUGGCGAAGGCAGCUACCUGGACAGGUACUGACGCUCAGGCACGAAAGCGUGGGGAGCAAAAGGG